UCCCUAGUGGUCCAGAGGUUAGGACUUGGCCCUUUCACUGCUAGGGCUCAGGUUUGAUUCCUGGUUGGGGAA
rfam:Ovis aries breed Texel chromosome 2, whole genome shotgun sequence.